rnacentral:rRNA from 1 species
UAGCUCGUCUGCAGUCGACGAUUCCUACGGGAGGCAGCAGUGGGGAAUAUUGCGCAAUGGGGGAAACCCUGACGCAGCGACGCCGCGUGAGUGAUGAAGGCCUUCGGGUCGUAAAGCUCUGUCGUAAGGGAAGAACGGGUUACAGGUUAAUACCCUGUAGCAUUGACGGUACCUUACAAGAAAGCACCGGCUAACUCCGUGCCAGCAGCCGCGGUAAUACGGAGGGUGCGAGCGUUGUUCGGAAUUACUGGGCGUAAAGAGCGUGUAGGCGGCUAACUAAGUCUGGUGUGAAAGCCCGGGGCUCACCCCCGGAAGUGCGCUGGAAACUGGUUAGCUAGAGUAUGGGAGAGGGAAGUGGAAUUCCUGGUGUAGCGGUGAAAUGCGUAGAUAUCAGGAGGAACACCGGCGGCGAAGGCGGCUUCCUGGACCAAUACUGACGCUGAGACGCGAAAGCGUGGGGAGCAAACAGGAUUAGAUACCCUGGUAGUCCACGCCGUAAACGAUGGGCACUAGGUGCCGCGGGUAUUGACCCCUGCGGUGCCGCAGCUAACGCAUUAAGUGCCCCGCCUGGGGAGUACGGUCGCAAGAUUAAAACUCAAAUGAAUUGACGG